UCCUGCUGUGUGGAAAGAAUGUUGUAUAUAUGGGAAUGAGAGUACACAUCCUAUUUAAACGAUGUGUGUGAUGGAUCGGUAUUCAAAUCCAAUCCUCUGUUUACAGAGCCAGGUGUCACCUUAAAGGUAAUACUUUAUCAAGAUGCAUUUGAGGUGGUUAAUCCCCUUGGCUCUGCAAAGAAAAAACACAAAAUGCUUGGGGUUUACUUCACCCUAGCAAACUUUGAUCCUUUUCAUCGAUCCACAGUUGACAACUUGCAGCUUUUGCUUUUGUGCAGAGAAGCUAAUUUCAAACAUUUUGGCCAUGAGAAAGUGUUCUCUCCAGUCAUAUCAGAUCUUAAAGAACUGGAGACAAAUGGACUGAGUGCACAUGGAAACAUUGUGAAGGCAACAGUCUUUUGCAUUUCAGGCGAUAAUUUGGGUUCGCAUAAUAUUAGUGGGUUCACAGAAAACUUUAGUACAUGUCACUAUUUCUGCCGCUAUUGCCAUAUAACUAGAAGUGAGCUAGACAAUUUGGAACACCAGGCUCCAAUCCGCACAGUGCAAGACUACAGUGACGCUAUUCAAGAGGUGCAAAAUGGUGAUGCACGUGAAGUCAGAGGUUUGAAAUUUAACUCUGUCUUUAAUUCUCUGGCAUUUUUUCAUGUCUGUCAGCCAGGCCUCCCACCCUGUAUUGGCCAUGUUUUGUUUGAGGGUGUAGUGGCAUCUGACUUUGCCAUUUACCUCAACUACUUUGUCAAGGUGAAGAAAUUCUUCACAUAUUCACAACUAAAUCGUAGGAUCAGGCAGUUUAGUUACCAAGGAUCUGACUGUAAUUCUACACCCUCAGAAGUUUGAAAAGGGUGUAAAACUAGGUGGCCAAGCAACAGAAAACUGGUGUCUGCUGAGGCUUCUACCUCUUAUAAUCGGUGAAAAGAUAACAGAUACAGAGAAUCAGGUAUGGCAGCUGACUGUCCAACUGAAAGAGAUAGUGGAAUUGAUUUGUGCCCCUAAAAUAUCUGUACCUCAGGUUGCUUUGCGCAAUGUUCAGAUCCGUGACUAUCUAGAGGGAAGGAAAGAGCUGUUUCCUACACACAAAGUGAAACCAAAGCAUCAUUACCUCAUCCUCAUUAUCCUGCAUUGAUACUGAAAUUUGGCCCACUAAUGCGGUUAUGGACAAUGCGGUUCGAAAGCAAGCAUUCAUACUUCAAAAGAUGUGUGAGAAGAACACAAAAUUUCAAAAAUGUAUGUCAGACACUCGCCAGGAACCACCAGUUGCUACAAGCAUACCUACAUUCAGGUUCCUUUUUUGCACCUUUACUGGUGGUGAAGAACUCCACUCCUUUCCAUGCUGAACUGUACAGUAAUGCAGUGCGCACUGCUGUAGGACCAACCUUGGUCAAGGGAACCCAAUAUUGUGGCAACUACAGAGGUACAGUGGAAAGGCACUGUGUACAAAAAGGGGCUCUUUAUCUGUUUGAGCCAAGGCAAGUCAACUGAAUUUGGACAAAUUGAACUCAUACUGGUGAAGGAGGAGAAGCAUGUGUACUUCAUUAAUACACCUAAUGAUGUGUCAUAUUUGCCAGAGUUUGGUCUAUAUGAAGUGAAAGAGGCAAGGCCGAGCAUGAAGUGCAGAAAAGCAGAACUCAAUGUGGAUUAUUAUCCAUUACCUGUGUACAAGCUUUUUGGGACAAGAGUCAUUUCACUGAAACAUAGCAUUGUUGACACACAGUAAAUGGAAAGAAAGUAAAGAUCAUUCCAGACUAUACACCUCUGUCAGAAUACUAGUACCCUAUUUUACAUUUUUUACCAAGACACACUAGGUUAAAUAUAUAAGGAGCUAGUGAGAUUGUACAAAGAUUCGACCUUUUGACUUCACCCCAACACAAUCUCAAAAGUAAAGCUGCACACUGCAUAAACUUGGUAAGUAACUGCAGUAAAUACAACAAUGUAUGAGCAAUAUCAGUGAGGGUUGGACUUCCCCAGAGAUCUGGAAAUUUAACACUGGUUUAUGAUAAUAAAAUUUAUAGCAUUUACCUUAAAAUGACUGUAUGGGCUAGAGUAAUUCAAGUCCCUUUUACCACUAAUAGUCACUUGAGUUAUACAUAAAAACAAUGAUGUGAGAAACUAAACUGUCAGUCUCAUCUCUCCUGUAUAGUCAUGGAUCGAGGGAGUGCUCUUGCUUCUUUUAUUAAAUCAACUCUUCCAAAACUAACUGAACUUGAGCCUUUGCUUGAGGUUCUUCAGGAAUUAGGAGUCCAGGAACUAGAGGACUUGAACUACAUCCAAGAGAGUGACCUUCUUCAUGUCUUAAAGCCAGUGGAAGUGAGGAGACUUCUUUCACACUUCAAAACCACAAGCCAAAGAGAUGUGUUAGACAGUCUUCCCAGAAACCAGCUGUCCUCAGAUACAGCCUGUGACGGUCCUCAAACACAGCCUGACAAAAUGUCCCUUUCUGGUGGCUACAACUCUCCAAGUUCAAACUCGCCGAUAUCAGCAUCUAGUUCCAGUAUGGAUUUUGCACCUUCUCAACUGUAUGACAACAGCUGGCAUUUCAGAUUUGAAAUUCCUUGGAAGAAGAUGCCAUCUGCCAUCAUCAGAAAGCUGGAAACAGGGAAGCGACCAACAAAAAGUGAGAGAAUAAAUAAUUCGACUGAUUGUUAGUGAAACCUUAACAAUAUGCCCAACACCUGGGAAGAAACACAUAAGUGACAUUGCAAGAAAGAUGGUAAAGGCGUAUCCUGUGGCAUUCAGAGAUGUCAUUGAAGGUGAAAUUGUAGGCAGUGGGUAUGAUUCAAUCACAAAACAAAUGAUGAGCAGAGUGGAUAACUUGAGAGGAACCACUUCACUUUUCUUGAAAAGACAAGCUACUGGCACCAGUGAAGGAGAGGAUACCCCAAGCCAGGAGAAGACGACUAGACACCUACGGAUGUAUAAACUGGCAACCAGUGCAGCUACCACCUGAUGAAACACCUGAAUCUCCAAAAGAUGCACAAGAACAGUUAAAGAAAAUGUACAAAGAAAGAUGCCAUGACAUCAAGGGUAUUGAGAAUAUGAUGAGGGCCACCUUCUUCACUCAGAGAAAAGACAUUAUCAGUGGAAUUGAGACGUCUGAUUUGACAAAGGAAUGGCCAUAUUUAUUUGAGACAGUUGGCAUGAGGACACAUUUUAAAGAGCUUACAGGCCUGGACAUUGAUGACAAAGCCAUAGCAAAUAAAUGUGCCAGAGUUGUUUCAUACCUCAAGUCUAGUGACAAGACAGGGAAGAUGGAAACCGUCUUCAGAGAAAUGGAAACAUCAAGCAAAAAUAUUGCAGAUGUCAAUGCUGCUGGGUUCCUUCAACUACUUCUCAAGCAUUUCAAUGAGGAGGAGGAUCAGACGUUCUGUAAAGUGGAUAAAACAACUCUGCCAUCUGAAGUGAACUGUGCUGAACUUCCAAGUACGCCAUGCAUAGUUGUGUGUGGAACUUCUGCUUUGGAAGCAGAGUACUUCAUGUUAUCUGUGGACCAACCAUUGUGAAUAGCCACAUUACUGUCUUCAGUGAUGCUGUUGUGUUGAUGUUUGCCUCCUACUACUGCCUGAACAUCUCCUACCCAGCAGCCCAAGGAGCAACAUUGGAGUUCUUGCAGAGAUGCCUUUUCAAGAUAAAUCCUGAAAAGGGUUCAAAAGUGGAGAAGACCACAUCAAAAAAGCUGCUGGCAGUCAAUCCAAAGGUUCUUUCACUGAUAACAAAAAUUGCAGACUAUGAAUGGAGAGAGUAAGAAAGAAACAUUCUUUAAAAGUGGUCAGUUUUUUUGAGAUGUGUGCAGCAUAAAGUGAACAUUUUAAUUUUAUUGCUUGAUUUUUGGUUUUGUUUUUUCCCUCAUAAUGGGCAACUGUUUCAGUCUGCCUUCAAUGUACCUGGUUUGAAUCACAGUUGCAGGUACAGUUGGCCACAAGUAACCAAUUGU